rnacentral:rRNA from 1 species
AUUGAACGCUGGCGGCAGGCCUAACACAUGCAAGUCGAGCGAGCGGCGGACGGGUGAGUAAUGUAUGGGGACUGCCCGAUCGAGGGGGAUAACUACUAGAAACGGUGGCUAAUACCGCAUACUGUCGGGUAACCCAUAUGGGCUUAGCUAGUAGGUAAGGUAAUGGCUUACCUAGGCGACGAUCCCUAGCUGGUCUGAGAGGAUGAGCAGACACACGGGGACUGAGAGACGGCCCAGACGCCUAGGGAGGCAGCAGGGGGGAAUAUUGGACAAUGGGCGCAAGCCUGAUGCAGCCAUGCCGCGUGUAUGAAGAAGGCCUUAGGGUUGUAAAGUACUUUCAGUCGGGAGGCGGUACCGACAGAAGAAGCACCGGCUAACUCCGUGCCAGCCGCCGCGGUAAUAC